rnacentral:tRNA from 1 species
UAGGGUGUAGUAGAUUUGUAGUAGGUUAGAACUUGGCGAGCUCUGUAAGUGAUUGAAAUUUAAUUUAUAUUGAAAUUAUUGCUUGUCUGGGGGACAAGGGGUCGCAGGUUCAAAUCCUGUCGUCCCGACCA